UCCCAAGUGGCUAAGUGGUAAAGAAUCUGCCUGCAAUGCAGGAGAUGCAGGUUUGAUUCCUGGCUUGGGAA
rnacentral:tRNA from 1 species